CGGGCUGUAGCGCAGUUGGUAGCGCGCUACACUGGGGGUGUAGAGGUCGCUGGUUCAAAUCCAGUCAGCCCGAC
rnacentral:tRNA from 1 species